rnacentral:rRNA from 1 species
UACGUAGGGUGCAAGCGUUGUCCGGAAUUAUUGGGCGUAAAGAGCUCGUAGGCGGUCUGUCGCGUCGGCUGUGAAAUCCCGAGGCUCAACCUCGGGUCUGCAGUCGAUACGGGCAAACUAGAGUAUUGCAGGGGAGACUGGAAUUCCUGGUGUAGCGGUGAAAUGCGCAGAUAUCAGGAGGAACACCGGUGGCGAAGGCGGGUCUCUGGGCAAUAACGGACGCUGAGACGCGAAAGCGUGGGGAGCAAACAGG